rnacentral:misc_RNA from 1 species
AAGUCGUAACAAGGUUUCCGUAGGUGAACCUGCGGAAGGAUCAUUAAUAAACGGCGAAGCUCGCAAGAGCCUAGCUCUAUAUUAUUCCAUAACACCUGUGAACUAUUUGCCUUCUUGUCAUGAGAGGGUACAACCUUACAAACAUAACUGUAAUGAAUGUAAUCUAUUAUAACAAUAAUACAACUUUCAACAACGGAUCUCUUGGCUCCA